ACGUACACUCCUACGGGAGGCAGCAGUGGGGAAUUUUGGACAAUGGGCGCAAGCCUGAUCCAGCCAUGCCGCGUGCGGGAAGAAGGCCUUCGGGUUGUAAACCGCUUUUGUCAGGGAAGAAAAGGUUCUGGCUAAUACCUGGGACUCAUGACGGUACCUGAAGAAUAAGCACCGGCUAACUACGUGCCAGCAGCCGCGGUAAUACGUAGGGUGCAAGCGUUAAUCGGAAUUACUGGGCGUAAAGCGUGCGCAGGCGGUUAUGCAAGACAGAGGUGAAAUCCCCGGGCUCAACCUGGGAACUGCCUUUGUGACUGCAUGGCUAGAGUACGGUAGAGGGGGAUGGAAUUCCGCGUGUAGCAGUGAAAUGCGUAGAUAUGCGGAGGAACACCGAUGGCGAAGGCAAUCCCCUGGACCUGUACUGACGCUCAUGCACGAAAGCGUGGGGAGCAAACAGGAUUAGAAACCCCGGUAGUCCCAUGAU
rnacentral:rRNA from 1 species